GAUGAACGCUGGCGGCGUGCCUAAUACAUGCAAGUCGAGCGAACAGACUAGGAGCUUGCUCCUCUGGCGUUAGCGGCGGACGGGUGAGUAACACGUGGGGAACCUACCUAUGAGCCUGGGAUAACUUCGGGAAACCGGUGCUAAUACCGCAUAAUAUAUUUAACCACAUGGUUCAAUAGUGAAAGACGGUAUUGCUGUAACUUAUGAAUGGAUCCCGGUCUCAUUGGCUAGUUGUUAAGGUAAGGGCUUACCAAGGCAACGAUGCGAAGCCGCCCGGAAGGGGUGAUCGCCCACACUGGACCUGAGCCACGGUCCAGCCCCCUCCGGGGGGCAGCGGAAGGGAAUCUUCCGCAAUGGCCGAAAGCUGGCCGGAGCAAGGCCGGGUGAUGGAUGAGGGUUUCCGGACCGUAAACUUCUGUUAUUAGGGAAGAACAAAUGUGUAAUUAACUGUGCACGUCUUGACGGUACCUAAUCAGAAAGCCACGGCUAACUACGUG
rnacentral:rRNA from 1 species